rnacentral:rRNA from 1 species
GACGAACGCUGGCGGCGUGCUUAACACAUGCAAGUCGAACGAUGAAGGAGAGCUUGCUCUCCGGAUUAGUGGCGAACGGGUGAGUAACACGUGACUAACCUGCCCCUUUCUCUGGGAUAACGCUCCGAAAGGAGUGCUAAUACCGGAUACGAACUCUGAACACAUGUUCGGAGUUGGAAAGUUUUUCGGAAAGGGAUGGAGUCGCGGCCUAUCAGCUUGUUGGUGAGGUAACGGCUCACCAAGGCGACGACGGGUAGCCGGCCUGAGAGGGCGACCGGCCACACUGGGACUGAGACACGGCCCAGACUCCUACGGGAGGCAGCAGUGGGGAAUAUUGCACAAUGGGCGCAAGCCUGAUGCAGCGACGCCGCGUGAGGGAUGAAGGUCUUCGGAUCGUAAACCUCUUUCAGUAGGGACAAAGCGAAAGUGACGGUACCUAAAGAAGAAGCACCGGCUAACUACGUGCCAGCCGCCGCGGUAA